rnacentral:rRNA from 1 species
GAUGAACGCUGGCGGCGUGCCUAAUACAUGCAAGUCGAGCGAACAGACGAGGAGCUUGCUCCUCUGACGUUAGCGGCGGACGGGUGAGUAACACGUGGAUAACCUGCCUAUAAGACUGGGAUAACUUCGGGAAACCGGAGCUAAUACCGGAUAAUAUAUUGAACCGCAUGGUUCAAUAGUGAAAGACGGUUUUGCUGUCACUUAUAGAUGGAUCCGCGCCGCAUUAGCUAGUUGGUAAGGUAACGGCUUACCAAGGCAACGAUGCGUAGCCGACCUGAGAGGGUGAUCGGCCACACUGGAACUGAGACACGGUCCAGACUCCUACGGGAGGCAGCAGUAGGGAAUCUUCCGCAAUGGGCGAAAGCCUGACGGAGCAACGCCGCGUGAGUGAUGAAGGUCUUCGGAUCGUAAAACUCUGUUAUUAGGGAAGAACAAAUGUGUAAGUAACUAUGCACGUCUUGACGGUACCUAAUCAGAAAGCCACGGCUAACUAC